rnacentral:rRNA from 1 species
AAAAGCUCGUAGUUGGAUCUCAGCUCCGGKCGGAYGGUCCGCCUACCGGUGGUUACUGUUCGCWMCSGAGYGUUCRGGYGGUUAUUCUUGAUGAUCUUCACCGGUUGUCUCGRGUGACYGCCAAGUUUACUUUGAAAAAAUUAGAGUGCUCAAAGCAGGCGCRACGCCUGAAUAAUUGUGCAUGGAAUAAUGGAAUAGGACCUCGGUUCUAUUUUGUUGGUUUUCGGAACACGAGGUAAUGAUUAAGAGGGACAGACGGGGGCAUUCGUAUUGCGACGCUAGAGGUGAAAUUCUUGGACCGUCGCAAGACGAACUACUGCGAAAGCAUUUGCCAAGAAUGUUUCCAUUAAUCAAGAACGAAAGUUAGAGGUUCGAAGGCGAUCAGAUACCGCCCUAGUUCUAACCAUAAACGAUGCCAGCUAGUGAUCCGCCUGUGUUCCUCAAAUGACACGGCGGGCRACUUCCGGGAAACCAAAGCUUUUGGGUUCCGGGGGAAGUAUGGUUGCAAAGCUGAAACUUAAAGGAAUUGACGGAAGGGCACCACCAGACAUGGAGCCUGCGGCUUAAUUUGACUCAACACGGGAAAACUUACCCGGCCCGGACACAGGAAGGAUUGACAGAUUGAGAGCUCUUUCUUGAUUCUGUGGGUGGUGGUGCAUGGCCGUUCUUAGUUGGUGGGGCGACUUGUCUGGUUAAUUCCGAUAACGAACGAGACUCUAGCCUACUAAAUAGACGUUCCGAUCCUCUUGAGUCGGACGUUCUUCUUAGAGGGACAAGCGGCGUUUAGCCGCACGAGACAGAGCAAUAACAGGUCUGGGAUGCCCUUAGAUGUCCGGGGCCGCACGCGCGCUACAUUGAAGGAAUCAGCGUGUGCUUUCCCUGUCCGAAAGGACUGGGUAACCCGUUGAACCUCCUUCGUGCUGGGGAUUGGCGUAUGUAAUUAUCGCCAUGAACGAGGAAUGCCCAGUAAGCACGAGUCAUCAGCUCGUGUUGAUUACGUCCCUGCCCUUUGUCCACACCGCCCGUCGCUACUACCGAUUGAAUGAUUUAGUGAGGUCUUCRGACUGGCGCUCGRWUUGGCCUCCGCGGUCRAGCCGGUGUGCYGGAAAGAUGACCAAACUUGAUCAUUUAGAGGAAGUAAAAGUCGUAACAAGGUUUUC